CUUUUCAUUUUGAAGUCAUUACAGUAUCAUUUGCAAAACUCAACAAGAAAAGAUGCCUGUGGAUGGCCGUGUUCUGGGAGUCACUGAGAUGAGGCCUGUGUUAUGGAAUCAGCCCUGACUUGGAAGCUUAUCUCCUGGGUUUGAAAGCAGCUCUGAAUCUUGCUAAGUUGUGAGACCUCAGGCAAGUCAGUUCACCUCUAAUUGACCUUGCUGACCAUACACAACACACACUUUACUUUUAGUACCCCAUUCAACCCUCACUACAAACCUCACCUGAGUUGUGGUAGUUUACUGUCCAGACUCCUUAGAUGGAGAAACUGAGGUGCUAAAUGAAUGUGCGCAAACUUGCAGGAUCCUAAGUGAAGGAGACAAGAUGUGAACCUAGACAUGUGGCCCCAAGGCUGAAGCAGUGAGUCGCUGAACUGCAGUUAUCAUGCCGAGAAGGGUGGCUUUCAACCCUGCCAUGAGUUAUAAGCAUAGGUGGCUCCCUCACUCAUGUGUGUCCUAGAUUUCUGUGAGUCUGCAGACAUCCCAGGCACUGGCUGUGAUUACAGGGUGGCCACAGUAAUCACAUAGCUUAGGGCAGACAUCAGUGAAUGUAACUGUAUCACUGGGCAUAGCCAUUGGUGUGGGCAGUACAGAGAGGGCCCAGAUACUUCUCAUGCCAUGGCCAGGUCACAAGUUCUGGUCACUGGGAAGCAGCACUGAGAGACUUUCAUGAACUUCUUUCAGUGCUGAGGACACUCCUCAGCAGUUGGCCCCAAACAGGUAAGACUGAAGAAAUAUUUUUGUAACAGUAGAGUGUAUUAUCACCAAAAGACAUAGGAGUGAUCAAAUCCUGCAAGCUACACAUAAGGCACAAUGACAAAUAAGGCAGCAAAGGGCCAUUUGGUGAUUAGUUCACCAAACUUGUUGCAACUGUUUGUACUGCAGAGUUAAAACAUACCAGUAUUCAACCCACAUCUCCUCUCCUGAAAUAAACUGUCCAACAUCAGCUGGCCAGAACAAGCACAGAUAUUCUUCAAACUCAACUAAUAUGCAUACAUGACAAAGAAAAGGCGGUCUGGAUGAAAAAAUAGUGGGUUAUUAAUAAUGGUUAUUUUAAAGGAUAUAAUUUCAGUGUUUCUAAUUCUGUCAUUGGUUAUAACAAAGGAUUAGUGAAUAAAUACAAUAGACUGUUUUGCCUGGAAUUUAAUCCAAUCUGUCUAUUAAACUUUGCUUUUAUUCAAGUGCAAAAUCCUAAAA
rnacentral:lncRNA from 1 species